AUUCUCAGAGGGCGGAGCCAGAGAGCAGUGAUUGGUCAGACCAUACAGAAUAUAGGAGACAGCGCGCUAGCGUCUCUAGGCUGCUAUAUGUAUCUAUGGUUAGCACGUCUGGUAGCAUCUCUGGCUGCUGUUGACCUUGUUUUUGGAGUAAAACACGGUGGAAGCUGAAUUAGUGAGGAUGACUCCUGCUCCUGUCAUCUCUAAGCUCCUCACACAUCUUUACCUGCACAUGAGGAAAAUCACUCCUGUAGAAUGCAGAUGUUCAGAGGGAGAUGAUGCCACAUCUGGUCCAGCUGAUGGAAGGUCUUGAAGUUCUCUGACUGGCCUCGACUGAAGAUGGUCGUCUCACUGGAUUUAAGGUUCAGAUGCUCAGUAACAAACUCCACCAAUGAGCCAACAGGGAAGCUUUAGGUUUAUUAAAUGUUGCUAUGAAGGUAUCGCUGUUUUUCUUUGUGAAUGCAAUGUGCUCCAACUGAAACUUGAAUUAGGACUUAGAAGUAAAUCCUUCCAUCUGAAAGGAUCUAGAUGUAUUAAUAACCUCAUAACAUUCUAAUUUUUAUUCCAGUCUUGGUUGGAAAUAGAAUCUCUGUAUUGAUUCAGGUAAAAACUGAACUUCACAGCAUGUUGGAGCAAAACAACCAGAUGAAAACUGUGAUGGUGUUGGAUUGUCAGACCGUAAAGUUGCAGCUCAAAGCAGCUUUUCUAUCUCAGUUCAUUCUGACAUUCAGCUAUGAAUCAACACAGCAGAUGGUGAUCCAUGCUGUGUUGAGCCCUUCUCUAACUACCUUUGUAUUUACUAUAUAUACCAUUAUUGCAUUACAUUCACUCUGUUUCUUUCUGUGUCCUUUCUCUGAGUGUCCCUGGUCCCAGAGCUGGAUGCUUCAGAUGUGUGGUUGUUCUCCCACCUCCAGCUGCCCAUUUCCACCAAUCUACUCUGCAUUGCCCUUACUAUACUUGACUUGCUCAUCUACAUAUUUUUGAAUUUACCACCAGCUAUAUAUGUAGUAUAUUUAAUGUCAGAGCCAUACACCAUAGCAGUAAACUAUAAUUAGUUUCCAUGUUAGUUGUACUUUGCAUGUAUCAUCUGUCUUAUCAUGCAUGUAUUAUACUGUGUGUUUUAUGGUCCUUGUGUCCCCCCCCUCCAUCUCUAUCCCUCUACCUCUAUCCUUCUAUCUCUAUCCCUCUACCUCUUCUGUUCCUCUCAACCCGCCCGGCCAGCAGCAGAUGGGUCCCCCAACAUUAGAGCCGGGUUCUGCUCGAGGUUUUUUUCCCUGUUAAAAGGGUGUUUUUCUUGCCACUGUCGCCUUUUGGCUUGCUCUGGGGGUCAGGCAUAUGGGUUCUGUAAAGCGUCUCGAGACAAUUUGACUGUAAUUGGUGCUAUAUAAAUAAAAUUGAAUUGAAUUGAAUUGGAAGUCUCACAUCUCCUGAUUUAAUGGAGCUGCUUUGCACUUUUUACACUGUUUAUUCACCAACACUUUAUUUAAUAAAAGUCCCAUCUAGUUUUUAUGAGGAAUGUGAUGUUUUAAUUUCUCUGUGAAUAACUGCAGUCUAAUGCAACAGCUGGAGUUGUAACAUCUGGCCUGGUAUUGAUCAUGAAGUAUUGAUCAGAAUACUUAUGGUUAGCAGUCAUCCCUGAAGUUUUACAUUAAAAUCUUUACUUGUGUUGUGAACUUUGGUAAGAAGCAGAAAUGUUAGCGUUGCCAUGGAUACAUGAGUGUUAAAUUCUGUCCAUGUUUCCAUUUUGGGAAAUGCAGUCCAGUUCCAGAAUGUGGAAGAAUUUAGUCUCACAAUCACAGACAACAAAUAUUAUCUGAAAGUCGGGUUAUUGUUGUUUAUCAGCAUAAUACAAAAAGAUUAAUGUUAGAAAUAUUCCAGUUAAGACUCUAGAAUAUCAUGAUUUAUGUAAAUUUACCUCAAUAAUAUGAAUGUUCAGGUUAAGAUUGUACAGUGAUAUUUAUUAUGUAAGUUUAGCUGAUUAAAGUUUAUGACCACUAAAAUGUUAUUUAAAUUGACAUCAUUAUUAUAAUAUUUAGGGUCAGACCCUACAGUAUUGAGAUUAAGAAAUCAUAUAAAAUGUAAAUACACUGAACUAAUUUGGAUGUAUUUAAGUGAGACUCCACAAUAUUAUUUGACACAAAUCUAUCUAAAUCAAAAUAUUAAUAAUUUUCACACCAAACAUUUACUGGACUGAUUUAAAUAUUAAAAUCACUCCUUUCUAAUCCUCUGCUGUACGUUCAAACCUGAGGCCUUAAAUAGAAACACACAAGUAUCUGAUUGAAGGAACUUCUGCAGAGUCCUGGUUCCAGAACAUGAUGAUAGAAUUAUAGACAAACUUUAACAAAAGCUGCCUGACAGUUUACAGCUUUUUAUGUUAGAUUUCCUCAGUAAUUUAAUGAGAGUUAUCAGCAAAAAUCAAGUGUUCAUUUGAUGAACUUCAUUCCCUAAAACAUCCAGAAUUGGAGCUCAUAUCUUUGACAGCUGUAAAGUUUCUGCUCCUUCAAAGUUCACAACACAAUGAAUGAAUUCCUAAAACACUCUCAAUGCUGGAGAGCGUUUGUGAUGCUGAAGCAGUGACCAGUUUUUCUGUUUCUUCUCUGGAGAUGCACAAUGAGGGACGUCUGCAGAGACUGAGAAAGAGUCUCACCACAUCCUGACAUGAGGAAAAAAGACUUUAUUGAAGACUACAAUGAGAAAAACUAUCAGACAGCAGACGGCUGCAUUCAAGGCUACAGGAGGAGCCCUACGAGGACGAGCCGGUCCACCUGAUGGUGGCCAGUCGCUGCGGUUCAAAGCCAACACCGACUACGUGGACUUCUACUGGACCACACGGAGGCCUUCAAACCGGACCAACAAGUUCAGCGACUCGUGGGUCUGAGGACGCCACCGAGCCUCGGUCCAGCCGGCCUCCUGUCUGUGGGUGUUUGAGUGCUGAGAGGUUUGUGGAUGCAUGUGAACGUAUCUGUGUUGAAACAGCAGCUUUGGACUCAGUAACGCCGGGAAAAACCAAGAGCUCCUUUAUUUGUGACUUCCACUAAUAAAACUGAUGAAAAUAAGUUUGCCAGGGUUCUGACUGAUGACGGAUUAUUAAAUA